UGUUUAAAAAUUUCAUCCAUUUUUACUGUUAAAAACUGGAGUAGCUGUCGGAAUAACCAAACAAUUACACAUGGUGUACCACAUGUACCUCAUGUCAAUGUACAAGGAUCAGUUUUUAAUAGUGGAAAUGGAUGAAAUUUUUAACA
rfam:Gossypium raimondii Chr02_contig_1479, whole genome shotgun sequence.